GCACUAAUCUUUGGGCUGGAGUAGCCUGUGGCUUACGUGUCUCGUCGCAGAACGAUUUAUUUCUCUUUUUCACCUCGAUCUUUGGCCUCUUGUGAUUUAACAAAACCAACAUGUGAAGUUACAACGCUGACGAAGGAGUUUAAUCAGUAACGUUAGAGUGUGUCCUGGUAAACGUGUGCUUGGAAACAUGCAGAUUACAGUAUUUACAGAGCCGACCUUGAGGCUAUUUUUUUUGCAUGACAUCCACUGAUGGAUAAUCUGUUUACCUAAAAACAGCACUUCAGGAGAAACCUGCCUGUGAUCUGCUAAGAUGCACAGAUUCAACUCUGGCCCAUUGUCAUCCCAACACCUUAUCUGCCAUCAGUUUUGUUUAGUGUCGAUCUAUUGCAAAAGUUCUUAUAAACUUUAAAUGAGACUUUGUGUUAAGCAGGGGUUUCCAAACUUUUAAUUUCACAACAUAUUAAGCCCAGGAUACACAGCAGGAUUUUUGCAAUCCAAUAGACCUUAUCACACUGUGUGACAAGAAUUGUUUAAACUUUAGCAGUAGACUGUCGAUGAAGACACCUAUUGCAUCUGAGGCUGCGACAUCCGUCAUCAGCAUGCGCUAGUGGUAAACAAAUACAGGUAUGCAGGUCGUAGAAGCAAACACGUUGUUGAUGUGCGUUGAUCAUGCUGAACUUCUUACACUGUCAUAAAACUAUCGUGGGUGUCUUUGGUCCCAGGACUGACAGACGUCUUUAAACCUCUCACACUGUACGAGAUAGGACCACCAAUUAAGAGCCACGAUCACAGAAAUCUCCACGAUUGUUUCACGAUUGGUAAUCUUUCAUCUGGGACAGCCAAAAAUCAUGUUGUGUAUUACGGGCUUUUGACAGGUGUAAUCUUAUAGUAUAUCAAACCAUUGCUAAUAAUUAAUUGGACAAACCAUCACUCCAAUGCAACACUCACUAUCUUACGGUGCGACCCACAAGUGGGUCUUCACCCACAGUUUAAAAACCCUGAGAAUGAGUAAGAGUAUGUUGUAUUGUAAUUAAAGUCACAUCUAAGUGUUAUGGAGCAGUUUGUCAUUAUAUUCACAGUAUUACAUGGUUCUUUCAGCAGUUUCUACGUUACAAUGCUCUUAAAGUGUCCUGAUCAGCUUUGGGUCUUGUGAAGUAAUGUAAUGAGAAUGUGAUCAAUAGCUUUGCAGUAUUUUUGGUUAAACAUUUUAUUCAAAUUUGGUAAACAAUCUAGUCAAUAUAAUUCAUGCUGUGAUGCUGGAUUAAACCUGGUCAAAUGAA